rnacentral:rRNA from 1 species
AUUGAACGCUGGCGGCAGGCUUAACACAUGCAAGUCGAGCGGAGAUGAGGUGCUUGCACCUUAUCUUAGCGGCGGACGGGUGAGUAAUGCUUAGGAAUCUGCCCAUUAGUGGGGGACAACAUUCCGAAAGGAAUGCUAAUACCGCAUACGUCCUACGGGAGAAAGCAGGGGAUCUUCAGACCUUGCGCUAAUAGAUGAGCCUAAGUCGGAUUAGCUAGUUGGUGGGGUAAAGGCCUACCAAGGCGACGAUCUGUAGCGGGUCUGAGAGGAUGAUCCGACACACUGGGACUGAGAAACGGCCCAGACUCCUACGGGAGGCAGCAGUGGGGAAUAUUGGACAAUGGGGGGAACCCUGAUCCAGCCAUGCCGCGUGUGUGAAGAAGGCCUUAUGGUUGUAAAGCACUUUAAGCGAGGAGGAGGCUACUGAGACUAAUACUCUUGGAUAGUGGACGUUACUCGCAGAAUAAGCACCGGCUAACUCUGUGCCAGCCGCCGCCGUAA